CCAAUAGCGUAUAUUAAAGUUGUUGCAGUUAAAAAGCUCGUAGUUGAAUUUCGGGAUCAAUAUGUCGGUCGUGCCUUCGGUACGUACUGGUCUCACUGAUUCCUCCUUCCUGAUGAACCGUAAUGCCAUUAAUUUGGUGUUGCGGGGAAUUUGGACUGUUACUUUGAAAAAAUUAGAGUGUUUAAAGCAAGCUAACGCUUGAAUACAUUAGCAUGGAAUAAUGAAAUAGGACGUUCGAUCCUAUUUUGUUGGUUUCUAGGAUUGACGUAAUGAUUAAUAGGGAUAGUUGGGGGCAUUAGUAUUCAAUUGUCAGAGGUGAAAUUCUUGGAUUUAUUGAAGACUAACUACUGCGAAAGCAUUUGCCAAGGAUGUUUUCAUUAAUCAAGAACGAAAGUUAGGGGAUCGAAGACGAUCAGAUACCGUCGUAGUCUUAACCAUAAACUAUGCCGACUAGGGAUCGGAUGAUGUUAAUUUUUUAAUGACUCAUUCGGCGCCUUACG
rnacentral:rRNA from 1 species